CUUGGUCAUUUAGAGGAAGUAAAAGUCGUAACAAGGUUUCCGUAGGUGAACCUGCGGAAGGAUCAUUAUUGAAUAAAUGUUGAUAGGCUGUUGCUGGCUCCCACCUAGAGUAUGUGCACGCUUGUCAUCUUUACUUUUUCCACCUGUGCAUUAUUUUGUAGAAUCUAGAAGAUUUUAAUUAUCUGAGAAAAUCAGAUAGAUUGAGGACUGCUGCAAGGGCCAGCUUUGCCUUGUACAUAUAUCUAGGGUUCUAUGUCACCUCACAUACUCCUAUGAAUGUAAUGUAAUGUUGAUCUGGGUCCUUUAGUACCUAUAAAGUUGGUUAUACAACUUUCAGCAACGGAUCUCUUGGCUCUCGCAUCGAUGAAGAACGCAGCGAAAUGCGAUAAGUAAUGUGAAUUGCAGAAUUCAGUGAAUCAUCGAAUCUUUGAACGCAUCUUGCGCUCCUUGGUAUUCCGAGGAGCAUGCCUGUUUGAGUGUCAUUAAAUUCUCAACUACACUGACUUUGUUUAGUGUGGCUUGGAUUUUGGGUGUUUUGCGGGCUUUGUAAAUAAAGUCGGCUCUCCUGAAUUUUAUUAGCAGGGAUUACCUCAGUAGAACUUGUCUACAGGUGUGAUAAUCUAUCUACGCCUUAGAUGUCUGCAUGGUUACUGCUUCUAAUCUUUUUAUGAUAAACUUGACCUCGAAUCAGGUAGGACUACCCGCUGAACUUAAGCAUAUCAAUAAGCGGAGGA
rnacentral:rRNA from 1 species